UACGGAGGGUGCAAACGUUGCUCGGAAUCAUUGGGCGUAAAGCGCGCGUAGGCGGCGAGUCAAGUUGGAUGUGAAAGCCCUGGGCUCAACCUAGGAUGUGCAUACAAAACUGCCUCGCUUGAAUCUCGGAGGGGGUCAGGGAAUUCCCGGUGUAGAGGUGAAAUUCGUAGAUAUCGGGAGGAACACCAGUGGCGAAGGCGCUGGGCUGGACGAUGAUUGACGCUGAGGCGCGAAAGCGUGGGGAGCAAACAGG
rnacentral:rRNA from 1 species